rnacentral:rRNA from 1 species
UACGGAGGAUCCAAGCGUUAUCCGGAUUUAUUGGGUUUAAAGGGUGCGUAGGCGGCUUAUUAAGUCAGGGGUGAAAGACGGUGGCUCAACCAUCGCAGUGCCCUUGAUACUGAUGAGCUUGAAUACACUUGAGGUAGGCGGAAUGUGACAAGUAGCGGUGAAAUGCAUAGAUAUGUCACAGAACACCAAUUGCGAAGGCAGCUUACUAAGGUGCAAUUGACGCUAAGGCACGAAAGCGUGGGGAUCAAACAGG